AGACUUGUCACAAUGCAAAACUGACAAACAUAAAAUAAAAAGAUUUACAGUCUGCAUUCGUGGUUUUCACUGCCAAAACAAGGACUUGGAAUUUCAGCCAGCUAUACUUUUCAAUCUGCGCAAAUGAAUUAAAGCUUCAGAAGAUUCUAAUCACAGUAACAUUUAACAAAAUGCAUGAAGAUGCAGGAUGAACUUAACUUUUGACCUUGUCCACCCCAGUCCAACACCAGCACCUCCACAUCAUCCAGGAUGAUGAUCAACCCUAGACCUGAAUUGCAUCAGGUAUUAUUUAUUAUGAGGAUACUGUUCCAUUGGAGAUAUCAUUGGAUAUUGUAUGAAAUAUUUUAUGCAAGAAAGGAGCUAAAGCUGUUCAUAAAUAAGACUGUUACAGCCACUCACAUGCAGAACUAAUCUACAGCAUCACUCCCAUGAUUCCAGUCCAAUGGUAAUGAGGAUUCAUAUCAACAGAAAAACCCAAGGAAAAUAUUGUUUUUUUUUCCAAUCACAAGACAGCCAGUUUCCAAUUAUGAUUUUAUCAAGUCAGAAUUCAGGAUUUGUAAACUCUGCAUCUCCAAUGCAUAAACAUUACAUUGAUAUUUUAUUUUGAUUUCUUCAUUGAGCAGCUGUUAAUCACACUUUUUUCACUGAUCACAAAUCGAAACAGCAAGCUUUGUGAUUUCAUUAUUCUGGCAGUAUGAAACUUUCACAAAUAAUAAAUACAUUUAUUGGAAA